ensembl:lncRNA
UAAAAGCACUUUCAGGGCAAAACAUUAUUCAAACUCAGACCCGCUGCCUGGAGUCCGUCUCAAUUACCAUGUUGUUAAAAGUGACACUUGGAGUAUAAUUGAAUUGCACAUGCAUAGUUGUGUUAUGAGUCAUAGCACUUCAUACGAAGCACACCAAGCCUCUGCUAGUUAUAUAUUCUAAAACAAAUGAACCUUUUUCAGUCGAUAUAAUCAUAUCCUGUACUCAUUGUGAUGGAUAUUGCUUCACACAUCCAUGAAACAAACUUCAGUUGGUAGUUGAGUCGUUCUGCUCGUCCUCGGCCUGGUUGUGUACACUGAGUUUAGCAACGUAUCCCGGCCCUCCCUCUCCCCAAUAAUCCCCUCCGAGACUUCUACCGAGGGCCUCUGAAAGGGGGGGGGGGGUGUCCCGAUCGGCUGCACCCUGCCUGUCAGCAGAUGACGCCUACAUCCUUCGAGGCCUGCUGGAGUGAAGGAAAAGCUUCCUCAGAUGUUUGAUCUCCAAUGCUGAGCCCAACGGCCACGUCCACUUUGUGUUCACAGCCCGGUGCACUACAGAGCGAGGGAUCCUUUCGCUUCACAGAGUUUGCGACCGUAAGUGAGGGUCACGAAGUGUUCGGACUAAUAAUUUAGAACCUUCGCCACGUGUCUCAGCGCCCCCUGAGACGGGUCCGGCGUCGCCGCUGGCGGUCCACUCGCUCCAUUUCACACUCACUCGUUCACAAGAUAGCGAUACUGAACUCCCUCGGGGAGGAGGGGGGGGGGGGUGACUCACCUCCGCUUUCUACAGUUACAGACCCCUGCAGAAUGACGAUGAUCAUCAAAUGUAAUUUUCCAUGUUGAGUAACAGUAAAACCAGCAUUCAUGAACCAUUGUUUCCACGUGUUGUGACGCACAGAAGAAGCUCACAGGAACACUUUGUAGCUCCAAUGUAUUCAUGUUUACUGCUUAUCAAUUCAAAACUGCCUGAACAGGUAUUUUCAGAAUAAACUAAUUGGUAAAUGUGUCACUGAGCCUUACUGAAGCCUCCUUAUUAUGCUCUGAAGUCGUGCUCACUAACAACAGCAUACACAUUCGCACAUGAUAGCUUCCAUCUUGCUUUGCUAGCGGCGCACGUUCUCCUGUUCGUAGUGAUUUGACCACGUUCACCUUGAAUUAAGUUGUGUGUGUGCGCUGUGUUUUCGUCGUGUUGCACUUAAAGGAAAAAAUCAUCAAAUGUUGUGGGAACUCAAAGGGUUGAAGCUGUGAAACGAGCACACAGACGAAUCGCCGUGGCAACAGCCUUCCAAUGACAAAGGUAGCUAUUUGACUCGUAAACAGAGAAACAGUAUUCCAUAUAUGGAAUAGUAUAUGGAUACUAUGGAUAAUGGAUAAUAUAAUGGAUAUGGAUGAUAAUGGAUAAGCCCCUCCCCUUUUUGUUUGCAAUCGUCACAGCUCUGGACGUCAUGUUUGGGUUUUUGUCAAAUUCUCCUGAAUGUGACUCAGGAGCUAAUUAUUCUGAGCUGUUUGUCAGCACAUCACAUCACUUUCUCCCUCCAUGUUUAUCGAUCCAGCGUUUCGAUGCACAGCUCCGAGCCCUCGAGACAAGUUCAGGUUCAAGUUCAGCCGUCAAGUGUCAUGGAGGAGCGGUCAACAGUCAACGUUUUCACAGCCGGAGUGGGUCUGCCGCCAGUUGCCAUGGCGACCUGGACUGCAUUCCACACGGCACGCGAUGGCGGGUUUGAACUCCUGUGCUCUGCCUUCGCUGGGGCCCCCAGGUGACGGGUUGGCCCCGUGGUCUUUUGGUUCCGCCCCUCGAGCCUGAAGGUUUGAGUGUCCUGUGCGUAGCACGUGUAUCAUAUGUGCAGUAACCAUGUCUCCUAGUUACUGUUGCUAUGCCGGUCAAGUGUUGCACUCGACACAUAUGGAGUUUAAAAGAAUAAGUUCACACUUGUGUGAAUAUCCCAGUGUCAUGGCAGUUUGUGAAAUAGUGUCAAGAAGGAGAUCUAUUGUGCAAUGUACAUGUUUAUUAUAUAUCAUUUCCAGCUCACUUCUAGAACAUCUCGAUCUGUGUGAAUGAAUGAAGGAACAACGUGCCUGUAAAAGUGUAAUCAUGUAUUGGUAAAUGUGACGUCUACAGACGUGACAAUAUGCCACGAUGGGAAUAAAGAGGGCGAGACGAAGCAUACGGAGAACCAACCGGAAAUAAAGGGAAGCAGAAAUAAAUCCUCACAUUCUGUGAUGUUUUGUCACACAUUUCUGCAGGAUCCUGACAAUCAUUGUCUGUUUCUCACACUUUUUGACUGAAAGCUGGCAUUUAGCGAGUGGCCAUGAGGCCCGACGGUGACGCCCGCACAUCAAACUGGUCGUGCACGCAAUACAACCUUUUGAUAUGUGUUAAUUUUAACAUUCAUCUCUGCAAAUGGAAGUGGAAGCUGUGUGAGAAGGCUCCAUCUGCGCACACAGAGGUUACUGUGAAUAAUUGCCCACUUCGAUCACGGUAAAUUAGGCGGGGAAAUACACACUGCCGGUCACAAGUUAUGAUAAGUGAACCUCUUUGCAAGGAGUAAUGAAAUGCCUCCAUGUUGGUAACAGCCUCACAGCUGGUCCUCACUUAGAAUCCCCACAGAGGGAUUCACAUGUAACCCAUUCACCAACUGUUGCCCCCCCCCAUGUAUUUGAGUUUCUCCCUCCUCUUUGUCCCUGAAAUGCACACACACACACACAUACACACACGUCUAACAAACAAGCGAAGUGAGAUGAAGUGGCUGGAAUCACCUCCACUGCUUAUUCAUUAGUUUCGCUACUUUUUGCUUUGACUUCAGGGCCACCUACGCAAACCCCCGAGAGCACAGCAACUGUUUUUAGCGAUAAGAAACGGAGACGGAGACAAAGUUUCUUUGCAGAAAAACUUGCGAGUUAAUGAGCUGCUGUGUGUGAGCCUUAUUUCCACUUCCUGUGUGGGAGCUCCUCGACUGAGACUACGACGCAAAGAGGAUUCAUUGAAAAGAUGUGAUUUUGGCCUCAGCGGGGCAAAGAACGAUGUAAUCAAUGGAUCGACUUUUUGCCUAAAUAGUCACACUGCACACUUUCAGUCUACAUGUCCUUCAAUUAUGUCCAUUUACUUACCAUUUACCAUGCAAGGUGCCGCCUACCCGUCCGAUCCACCGAACCAUUCAGCACUUUGUGGUUAAGUGCCUUGCCCAAGGACACAUCGACCAGCGAAGCCAAAGCUUCUGGCUGAGGAAUCAUGACCGUGGAGUCGCGACAACAAGUACAACAUGUGAAUGUAAGCUUCUAAAUUGGAGACACAAAGGAAGAAAAAAGACAGAGCACAUUCAGGACUGAAAGAGUAAUAUGUAGUAUUCUGUAGUAGUCUGCAGUAGUCUCUAGUAGUCUGUAGUAGUUUGCAGUAGUCUGUAGUAGUCUGAAGUACUCUGUAGUAGAAUAAGGUAGUCUGCAGUAGUCCGUAGUAGUCUGCAGUAGUCUCUAGUAGUCUGUAGUAGUCUGCAGUAGUCAGUAGUAGUCUGCAGUAGUCUCUAGUAGUCUGUAGUAGUCUGCUGUAGUCUGUAGUAAUCUGCAGUAGUCCGUAGUAGUCUGCAGUAGUCUCUAGUAGUCUUUAGUAGUCUGCAGUAGUCUGAAGUACUCUGUAGUAGUCUGCAGUAGUCUGCAGUAGUCUGUAAUAGUCUAUAGUAGUUUCUAGUAGUCUGUAGUAGUUUGUAGUAUUCUGCAGUAGUCUCUACUA